AUUCACGCCGCGUGAGGGAUGAAGGCCUCUGGGCUGUAAACCUCUUUUAUCAAGGAAGAAGAUCUGACGGUACUUGAUGAAUAAGCCACGGCUAAUUCCGUGCCAGCAGCCGCGGUAAUACGGGAGUGGAAGCGUUAUCCGGAAUUAUUGGGCGUAAAGCGUCCGCAGGCGGUUUUGUAAGUCUGUCGUUAAAGCGUGGAGCUUAACUCCAUUUAAGCGAUGGAAACUGCAAGACUAGAGUGUGGUAGGGGCAGAGGGAAUUCCCGGUGUAGCGGUGAAAUGCGUAGAUAUCGGGAAGAACACCAGUGGCGAAGGCGCUCUGCUGGGCCAUAACUGACGCUCAUGGACGAAAGCCAGGGGAGCGAAAGGGAUUAGAUACCCCUGUAGUCCUGGCCGUAAACGAUGAACACUAGGUGUCGGGGGAAUCGAGCCCCUCGGUGUCGUAGCCAACGCGUUAAGUGUUCCGCCUGGGGAGUACGCACGCAAGUGUGAAACUCAAAGGAA
rnacentral:rRNA from 1 species